AUUGAACGCUGGCGGCAGGCUUAACACAUGCAAGUCGAACGGUAACAGAGAAGUGCUUGCACUUUUGCUGACGAGUGGCGGACGGGUGAGUAAUGCUUGGGAAUUUACCUUGUUGUGGGGGACAACAGUUGGAAACGACUGCUAAUACCGCAUAAUGUCUUAGGACCAAAGGUGGCCUCUAUUUAUAUGCUAUCGCGACAAGAUGAGCCCAAGUGGGAUUAGCUAGUUGGUAAGGUAAAGGCUUACCAAGGCGACGAUCCCUAGCUGGUCUUAGAGGAUGACCAGCCACACUGGAACUGAGACACGGUCCAGACUCCUACGGGAGGCAGCAGUGGGGAAUAUUGCACAAUGGGGGAAACCCUGAUGCAGCCAUGCCGCGUGUGUGAAGAAGGCUUUCGGGUUGUAAAGCACUUUCAGCGAGGAGGAAAGGGUAGUUACCUAAUACGUAAUAUCUGUGACGUUACUCGCAGAAGAAGCACCGGCUAACUCCGUGCCAG
rnacentral:rRNA from 1 species